UGCCAGCAGCCGCGGUAAUACGAAUGGAGCGAGCGUUGUUCGGAAUCACUGGGCGUAAGGCGUAUGUAGGCGGACAUGAAAGUCAGAAGUGAAAUCCCGAGGCUCAACCUCGGAAUUGCUUUUGAAACUCCAUGUCUCGAGUCCCGGAGGGGCCAGCGGAAUUCCGAGUGUAGAGGUGAAAUUCGCAGAUAUUCGGAGGAACACCAGUGGCGUAGGCGGCUGGCUGGACGGGAACUGACGCUGAGAUACGAAAGCGUGGGGAGCAAACAGGAUUAGAUA
rnacentral:rRNA from 1 species